rnacentral:lncRNA from 1 species
GCGCUGGAUCAUGCCGUACACCGUGUCAGGAUCACGCAGGACAGGACUGGGGAAGGGUUUGCUGGCGUCUCGGUUAAUAGCAGUAACGGCAGCCGCUUGUGUUCUUGAUUCUUUGCCAAGCAUUCUUGUUAUUUAACACGGGAAGGAGGUGACUUCGCCUGUGAUGGACUUCCAGUGUGAGCACUGGCCAGAGUGACCAGGCUGACCAGCACCAGCCCUGAUCCAGGUAAGAGAUGCAGAGGCCAGGAUGUGGGCCCAGCCCUGUGCCAGGAGGCUGGCUGGAAUAAAGGGAUGGGCAGGCUGGCAUGGGGGCAGCCGCUGCCCCUGCCUGGGUGUUGCUGUGUAUUCCUGCCGGCCAGGGGCCACUGCCAGGACCACGCCUCCCUUUUCAUAUCCCGAUUCUUAAGUUCUGCUAUUGUGGUAUUCUGGUGGAGAAAAAAGAACCGCGUGGCUGUUUUUGAACUGCCUGGAACCUAAGACCCUGAAUUCUUUUCCCCCCCAAGGGGAAAAUCUAUAUGGAAAACAUUUAUUUUAAAAUACAGGAUGAAGUGAAUUAAAAGAUUUAAAUGCACAUUUCUUUAAGGAUAAUAUUUCUGUGUUGGCAAAAUUUGAGAGUAAAUUGGUCUUGAAUGG